rnacentral:rRNA from 1 species
UACGUAGGGUGCAAGCGUUGUCCGGAAUUAUUGGGCGUAAAGAGCUCGUAGGCGGUUUGUCACGUCUGCUGUGAAAACUGGAGGCUCAACCUCCAGCUUGCAGUGGGUACGGGCAGGCUAGAGUGCGGUAGGGGAGAUUGGAAUUCCUGGUGUAGCGGUGGAAUGCGCAGAUAUCGGGAGGAACACCCGUAGCGAAGGCGGCGCUCUGGGCCGGUACUGACGCUGAGGAGCGAAAGCGUGGGGAGCAAACAGG